GAAUUUUAUAUAAUAGUUAGGAUUGAUUUUUAAGUUUUUAAAGAAGUUAAUUUUGAUUUAUAUUUAAUUGGGAGGAUUAUUAAAUUUUAGGAACUUUAAUUUUUAAUUUACAUUAAUUUAUGUAAUUAGAUAUAAAUAAGGUUAAAUUAUAGUAAAAAAAUUAAUUACCUUAGGGAUAACAGCGUAAAAUUUUUAGAGAGAUCAUAUUGAUAAAAGUGUUUGC
rnacentral:rRNA from 1 species